rnacentral:rRNA from 1 species
GAACGCUGGCGGCGUGCUUAACACCUGCAAGUCGAACGGAAAGGCCCUGCUUUUGUGGGGUGCUCGAGUGGCGAACGGGUGAGUAACACGUGAGUAACCUGCCCUUGACUUUGGGAUAACUUCAGGAAACUGGGGCUAAUACCGGAUAGGAGCUCCUGCUGCAUGGUGGGGGUUGGAAAGUUUCGGCGGUUGGGGAUGGACUCGCGGCUUAUCAGCUUGUUGGUGGGGUAGUGGCUUACCAAGGCUUUGACGGGUAGCCGGCCUGAGAGGGUGACCGGCCACAUUGGGACUGAGAUACGGCCCAGACUCCUACGGGAGGCAGCAGUGGGGAAUAUUGCACAAUGGGCGGAAGCCUGAUGCAGCAACGCCGCGUGCAGGAUGACGGCCUUCGGGUUGUAAACCGCUUUCGCCUGUGACGAAGCGUGAGUGACGGUAAUGGGUAAAGAAGCACCGGCUAACUACGUG